rnacentral:lncRNA from 1 species
UACAAUUUAACGUUGCGUCGUUUUGUUUUCUCUUAUUUUUGAGUGUAAAUUGACAUUGCGAUAAGACGUGUCACGGUAUUUGUCUAUCCCAAAUUCAUUUAUUUGGUUUUGAUGUUAUAUUUGUUAUUCUCGUUGGAUUUUGUCUGAUGCUUGGUCCGUUUCUGUGUGUGUUAGUUACAUUGUAGUGUUGUGUCGUUGUUCUCAUCUUAUAUUUAUGCGUUUCCCUCAGUUUUAGUUUGUUACCCCGAUUUUGUGUCCAUGGAUUUAUGAGUUUGAACAGCGGUAUACUACUGUUGCCUUUAUUUAUU